rnacentral:lncRNA from 1 species
GGGCACUGGGGCACAGUAGGAGGAACCCAGAAGAUGCUGCCUCUCCUGAUCAUCUGUCUCCUGCCUGCCAUUGAAGGGAAGAACUGCCUCCGCUGCUGGCCAGAACUGUCUGCCUUGAUAGACUAUGACCUGCAGAUCCUCUGGGGGACCCCAGGGCCACCCACAGAACUUUCUCAAAGCAUUCACUCCCUGUUCCUAGAGGAUAAUAAUUUUCUCAAACCCUGGUACCUUGAUCGUGACCAUUUGGAAGAAGAAACAGCCAAAUUCUUCACUCAAGUACACCAAGCCAUUAAAACAUUACGAGAUGAUAAAACAGUACUUCUGGAAGAGAUCUACAUGCACAAGAAUCUCUUUACUGAGAGGUUGAAUAAGAUAUCUGAUGGGCUGAAGGAGAAGGACAUACAGUCCACACUGAAGGUCACCAGCUGUGCUGACUGCAGGACUCACCUCCUCUCCUGCAAUGACCCCACUUUCUGCCCAGCCAGGAACCGGCGGACCUCCCUAUGGGCUGUGAGUCUCAGCAGUGCUCUACUCCUGGCCAUAGCUGGAGAUGUUUCUUUUACUGGCAAAGGAAGAAGGAGGCAGUAAAGGAACAGGGCAGCCCGCAUGUCUUCCAGAAGUGAACAGAGGCCGCAGCUACCACCGUCACAAAGUUCACUCAUCUCUGGGUCCCGGUGACCCCAUCCCCCCAUACCCUCCAUCCUGGGUCCUGGGGCCCCAAAGCUCUGAGGCCUAGGAGACUGCGCUGUCUCGUGGUUUGCCUACUCCUACACCUUUGUAAAGAGUCUCUUCAUUAAAACCCCUCUUC